UAAUUACACUCCCUCCCGCAUCAGUAGGAUUCGCCGCCCUAGGCAUGCCCUUCUAGAACCUGACGAUGAGAUAACUGUCCUCCAAGAGAGUAGUAAACUCACUAGCACCCUACACAAGCACAAACCGCGUUCGUACAAACCUAGCCGCCGAGGUCCGCCGCGACGUCCCGUUCUCUGUCCUCCCGACCCUUGCUCAUCGAGCCAGCCCGCGAGCUGAGCCAGUAGCUUUAAAUUCCCCAUUUAAUAAUAAUGAUCAUAUGAUCCAGCCUGUCCCUUUGCUGCCUCCCCAGCGACGCCCUAAGCCGAGGUCCGACCCCACAGGGGGUACCCUUAGCGCAGUCGCUUAGUUUAUAAGUUGUUUUACGCCCCUGGCUGGAGGCCUUAAAUUCUAGGCAUCCACAGGGAAAAGUCCGGUUAAGCAGUACACGGCCUCCUAGGCUGAACUGCGAGAUGCCAUACCAAAAAAAAAAAAAAAAAAAAAAAAAAAUGUUCAACUUUAGUCAGCGCCAGGCGCUUACCGAGGAGGGACGUAUCGCUCGCUGUUGCGCCGCGUAAACUCGCCGGAGUUCGAAAAAUAUAGCGCAACCUACGCAUCUAACACGUUUUGAUACUAGAUAAUGAAAGCAUAUUUAAUUCAGACUAUCAGACUCAAUUGAAUACCAGUACAAAUAAUAUGGAAAAUGAAGAUACAAUACAUGGAAGACGAAUUAUACAUUUUAGUUUUUUAUAAAUCAAUUACUUAUAAUUGAUAAACAUGGUGAAAAGUUUGGUUGUCGAUUAAAUAUUUUAAAAAUUGUAAACGAUUACUUGUUUAUUGUAACUCAAUCGAGCUAUUCUAGGUUAUAAAAUUCAUCGGUACAAAUAAUAUUUCAUAAACUAUAAAAACAAUAAAUUAUUUCGGAAAAAAGUGGCAAAGUCUCAAGUUUGUUUGUGCCGCGUGGCGGUCCGCAGGUGUGCGUUGCGUAUUUCACUAGACGCACACAUGCGCAAGUGCUGCCGGCUAUCGUCUAAUUUACCUACAACUGAGCAAUUCGAUUUUGUAAUAGCGCUCUUAAGGUGAU
rnacentral:lncRNA from 1 species